rnacentral:lncRNA from 1 species
CGAAACUGCUGCUUUUUGAUGAAUUAAUCACUGCAACUAAGGAUAUUUAGGAAUAUGUCCCUGCCAUUGUAUGGAUUAAAUUCUUAUAGCAUGACUUUUUGAUGAAUUAAUCACUGCAACUAAGGAUAUUUAGGAAUAUGUCCCUGCCAUUGUAUGGAUUAAAGUCUAUGAAAACCUGCCACUUUGGUUAGGAUACAAGGACUUUGGUUUUCUAUUAUCUUUUCUUAAUAGAACUUUCUAUUCAGCACGUUUUAUUUUUGGUUUGUCUGGGGUAAAGGUGGAGGUAGAGAGGGGUAAUAUGUGGUUUAAACUUUGAGAUUUUCUCGAAACGGC